rnacentral:rRNA from 1 species
ACGAACGCUGGCGGCGUGCUUAACACAUGCAAGUCGAACGGAAAGGCCCUGCUUUUGUGGGGUGCUCGAGUGGCGAACGGGUGAGUAACACGUGAGUAACCUGCCCUUGACUUUGGGAUAACUUCAGGAAACUGGGGCUAAUACCGGAUAGGAGCUCCUGCUGCAUGGUGGGGGUUGGAAAGUUUCGGCGGUUGGGGAUGGACUCGCGGCUUAUCAGCUUGUUGGUGGGGUAGUGGCUUACCAAGGCUUUGACGGGUAGCCGGCCUGAGAGGGUGACCGGCCACAUUGGGACUGAGAUACGGCCCAGACUCCUACGGGAGGCAGCAGUGGGGAAUAUUGCACAAUGGGCGGAAGCCUGAUGCAGCAACGCCGCGUGCGGGAUGACGGCCUUCGGGUUGUAAACCGCUUUCGCCUGUGACGAAGCGUGAGUGACGGUAAUGGGUAAAGAAGCACCGCCUAACUACGUG